rnacentral:rRNA from 1 species
UGGGUUUGACAUAUGCCGGCCCGUCCUGGAAACAGGACUUUCCUCUUACGAGGACCGGUAUACAGGUGCUGCAUGGCUGUCGUCAGCUCGUGCCGUGAGGUGUUCGGUUAAGUCCGGCAACGAGCGCAACCCGUGUCGCCAGUUGCCAGCGGGUAAUGCCGGGGACUCUGGUGAGACUGCCCGUGUCAAGCGGGAGGAAGGCGCGGACGACGUCAAGUCCGUAUGGCCCUUACGUCCAGGGCUGCACACGUGCUACAAUGGGCGGUACAAUGGGAAGCAAGACCGCGAGGUGGAGCCAAUCCCCAAAACCGUCCCCAGUUCGGAUUGGAGUCUGCAACUCGACUCCAUGAAGCCGGAAUCGCUAGUAAAGGCGUAUCAGCAACGGCGCCUUGAAUACGUUCCCGGGCCU